rnacentral:rRNA from 1 species
UGGGGAAUAUUGCGCAAUGGGGGAAACCCUGACGCAGCAACGCCGCGUGCGGGAUGAAGGCCUUCGGGUUGUAAACCGCUUUCAGCAGGGAAGAUCCAAGACGGUACCUGCAGAAGAAGCCCCGGCUAACUACGUGCCAGCAGCCGCGGUAAUACGUAGGGGGCAAGCGUUAUCCGGAUUCAUUGGGCGUAAAGCGCGCGCAGGCGGGUUGCUAAGCGGGACCUCUAAUCUCAGGGCUCAACCUUGAGCCGGGUCCCGAACUGGCAGCCUCGGGUUCGGUAGGGGAGAUCGGAAUUCCCGGUG